GAACGACGCUGGCGGCAGGCCUAACACAUGCAAGUCGAACGCCGUAGCAAUACGGAGUGGCAGACGGGUGAGUAACACGUGGGAACGUACCUUUCGGUUCGGAAUAACUCAGGGAAACUUGAGCUAAUACCGGAUACGUGCGAGAGCAGAAAGAUUUAUCGCCGAAAGAUCGGCCCGCGUCCGAUUAGCUAGUUGGUGAGGUAAUGGCUCACCAAGGCGACGAUCGGUAGCUGGUCUGAGAGGAUGAUCAGCCACACUGGGACUGAGACACGGCCCAGACUCCUACGGGAGGCAGCAGUGGGGAAUAUUGGACAAUGGGCGAAAGCCUGAUCCAGCCAUGCCGCGUGAGUGAUGAAGGCCUUAGGGUUGUAAAGCUCUUUCGCCAGGGACGAUAAUGACGGUACCUGGAUAAGAAGCCCCGGCUAACUUCGUG
rnacentral:rRNA from 1 species